UUGUUAUCAGGAUACCACUUUCAUUACUAUGUUCAGACCAUAGAUGUGAGUACAUCUAUGUUUAGACUAAUAGGGAUUUCCCAUUUUAAUUUGUAACAGCUGAUUCAACAGUUCACGCAAGUUCAAAAAUAUGUGUAAACAAUUAUAUCAACAAAAGAUGGGUAUCUGCUGGAAGUUUAUUUUGUUGUUUGUCAGAAUUCUUAUAAUUAUGGCAUGUAUAGUCAAAUCACAGAAUAUAUGUUACAAAUGUGAAUGCACUAUCAGCGAGGAAUAUUCAGACGUCCGAGCAGUGCGCAAGGUACAUCCAGUGUGCAACGAAGGUAGUUUCAAAUGGUAUAAUGUUUACGGUGGAGCUCUCCGUAUUAAAUUUCAACCAAUUUUCCGUGGUGAUUUCCUGUUGUGUUUCAUUUUGUAUGCAGAAAAUGUAAGAGUUCAGAUUUCACAAGAACUUCCAAAUGAAUCUACGUACAGUGUUAACUUUGAACGACCAGCUGGCUUAAAGCGACUUAUAGUAGCAGACGGCAGAACUAAUGAGACAUGCAUAAUAUCCUCUGGUGAAAGCAUUCAUUUAUUUCUAGAACCAGAAAGAACUGUAGAGUCUAUUGGGUUUAGUUUUGUUGACAUACAAUUCAUAAUGGAAAGAAACAAUGCAUAACACCAGACAUAAGCUAAAUUUUUGUAGCGAACAAUAACCCGAAUCUGAUGACAAUAACUAAACUAGUGUAACGAAACAAUCAUCUAGCCUAUAUAUACGUUGGAAAAAAAAAAACCCGACUAUUUUGGAACGACAAGUAUUUUUUUGUUAAAUUUGCAGUAGAAAUAAAAGCUGAUAACCAUUA